rnacentral:rRNA from 1 species
GUCCACGCCCUAAACGAUGUCGACUGGGUGUCGGGAGAGAGAUCUCUUGGUACCGAAGCUAACGCGUGAAGUCGACCGCCUGGGGAGUACGGCCGCAAGGUUAAAACUCAAAGGAAUUGACGGGGACCCGCACAAGCGGUGGAUGAUGUGGAUUAAUUCGAUGCAACGCGAACAACCUUACCUACCCUUGACAUGUCCGGAAGCCUGCCGAGAGGCGGGGUGCCGAACGGAACGGACACAGGUGCUGCAUGGCUGUCGU